GGGAGUGACAAUACACUGGGUCAGGUAUUAGCAGAGGGCCAGGAGGGAGUGACAAUACACUGGGUCAGGUAUUAGCAGAGGGCCAGGAGGGAGAGACAAUACACUGAGUCAGGUAUUAGCAGAGGGCCAGGAGGGAGUGACAAUACACUGGGUCAGGUAUUAGCAGAGGGCCAGGAGGGAGUGACAAUACACUGAGUCAGGUAUUAGCAGAGGGACAGGAGGGAGAGACAAUACACUGGUUCAGGUAUUAGCAGAGGGCCAGGAGGGAGUGACAAUACACUGGGUCAGGUAUUAGCAGAGGGCCAGGAGGGAGUGACAAUACACAGGGUCAGGUAUUAGCAGAGGGCCAGGAGGGAGUGACAAUACACUGAGUCAG
ensembl:lncRNA